rnacentral:lncRNA from 1 species
UCGAGCAGCUGGCACGUAGACAACCCAUCAGGCGAUACGUGUACCCUCCACCGCUUUUAGCCAUUUGGGUCCAGCGAGAUGCAUCUAAUGUCCUCUCAUCCCGUUCUUUCGCUCCAUCUCUCUCUCAUCCCCAUCCAUAUCUUCUGCUUCCACUAAUAUGCGCAUCCGUUCCUUCAACUCUUGCAGAGCCAGCGGAAUUUGCCGCGCUGGGAGCCGGCUGUCCCGCGAGCGUCGUUCCCAGGCAUGUGUCAAUCUUGGGAGUCUCCACAGCGUCUCUUUCCACUGGAGCGCUGCAGCCGGAUCCCCGUCCGCUCCCCUCCCCCCGGUCUCUCUCUCUCUCUCUCUCUCUCUCUCCCUCUCAUAUUUCUUCGUCUCGCGAUCUAAUUCUGUUAAGUGUAUUUGCAGGCCGAUGUGAAGCUAGUCAAGUCGCCGACGGCCCCCGUUCCAGACCACCUACAUCUAGAGCGCCGCGGACGGAUCCCGUCGUCCCCGUCAUGCCCGUGUCAAGGACCUCCAGUGUCCGCGUCGCCGGUGGGAUUAAUUCUUUUUCGCCUAUUUUCCUGAUUCUCAUGGUCAGGAUUUUUUUUGUUGCCUCACCCAAGGUUCCUUCGUUCCUUUCUCUCCCAUGUAUUGGCUGUCAGUUUGUUGGUUUUAAGGAGGCCGGUUGAUAUGAAGGAUAACAUGUAAAUGUGUAUAAAUUCAUGAGAAUCGUUUUAAGGGAGCGACGUGGGAUAAAAAACGAACGGAAUCAACGCAUGACACGAACGAAGUCAACGAACGCACGACCAAACAGAGUUUGCUCGCGUGCGUGACGGUUGGAAGCACGAGCAGAAACUCUGUUAUUUCUCACGUUGGACGUGACCACAGGUUGAAUACUAAAACCGCAG